rnacentral:rRNA from 1 species
AUGAACGCUGGCGGCGUGCCUAAUACAUGCAAGUCGAGCGAACGGACGAGAAGCUUGCUUUUCUGAUGUUAGCGGCGGACGGGUGAGUAACACGUGGAUAACCUACCUAUAAGACUGGGAUAACUUCGGGAAACCGGAGCUAAUACCGGAUAAUAUUUUGAACCGCAUGGUUCAAAAGUGAAAGACGGUCUUGCUGUCACUUAUAGAUGGAUCCGCGCUGCAUUAGCUAGUUGGUAAGGUAACGGCUUACCAAGGCAACGAUGCAUAGCCGACCUGAGAGGGUGAUCGGCCACACUGGAACUGAGAAACGGUCCAGACUCCUACGGGAGGCAGCAGUAGGGAAUCUUCCGCAAUGGGCGAAAGCCUGACGGAGCAACGCCGCGUGAGUGAUGAAGGUCUUCGGAUCGUAAAACUCUGUUAUUAGGGAAGAACAUAUGUGUAAGUAACUGUGCACAUCUUGACGGUACCUAAUCAGAAAGCCACGGCUAACUACGUG